AGAUGAUGGCACUGACGAGCUGCGGGAGCGCAGCUCUGUGUGCCUGCUGACGACGGACAGAUCCUGGGCAUCUCCCGGCAGAAGCCAGGGUCUCUGAAAAACAGAAGUGUGGAAGAGACUAGAAAAGUUGAGUGGACAACACAAGGAAGAGAUGGAGAAAGAAAUAAAAGGAAGUGGACAAAGCCAUCAGGCAAGUGCUAAGAAAACCUUAAAGGACACUAGCAACACAGCACACCUUGGAAGAGAAAAAACCCACAACAAUGCAGUGACAGCAUACAGAAAGCAGUAUAACUCAUGGUAAAAUAUCCAAGCCCAGACUGUAAGUCAUCCUUUCACUGUGCACAGUUAUGAAAAGGUAGUAAGUUCUAACAAGAUACAACAGCAUUCUGGAAGCACAUAGAAACAAAAAGCACAGGGUGGGUAAGCCACAGAUGAUGAAUAAGGCUGGACCAUAAAGCUGCGUGUAAACUUUGGCAAACAAUCCAGAAUUGCUUCAUGUCUCAAACUUAAGCCAAUGGUCUCUCUUGAUCUUAUCUGCAAUCUUUUCAUCAGUUAAGACCACUGAACUUCACCACUUCAGCCUUCUGUUGAGUUCAGUCUGUGUGAAGCACACCUUCUAGGAAAGCACCUACUGUGGUCUGGUGGACAUUAGGGGGAUACAUGAUCCAUUAGCUUCCUUAGUUUUAAAAACGUUUAUCUUCCCAAGUAUUAACCACUUGUACUCCAUCUUGGAGGGUUUUUGGACAGAGCAUUUGGUCACUUCAUUGAAAAGCAUUUUUUAAUUCUUCCUUUUUAAAUAAUGUAAUGCAGACUAUUACCUCAGAAAGCAACAGGAUAAAAACCUUUAUUGUUCCACCUUAGUCAGAGUUCACUUUUUACUGAUCCACAUUUUUGUAACUGUACUUUACAUUAGAAACCUCAGCUCCUCAGAGGCCUAACGUGGAGUAGCAAAAAGACCUUCAAAAUUGAUUCAAUCCCAUGUCUUCAAGUAAUAUACCACUUGGGCAGAAGGUAUCUUUAGAAUCAGUUAGAUCUUCCUCCCUUUCCUGCAUUCUUUGUCCUCAUUUCAUGCCAAGCUUUCACCAGUGGUUCUCUGUUUUUCCAGAUGAGCUCAUGGCCGUAAGUCACAUACCACCUGAGAAACAAAACAGGAGUUACAACUGCAAGUUUCCUCUGCAUCUGUGGGACAGGCUGAUCACUACAAUCAAGUUAGGAGAAAAAUAAACCAAGGCACAAAUAAGAGUGUUCCUGGAACGUGCAAAAACCAAUGAAACAAGAGCCAGCUGAAGAUGUCCCACCUCUUGCCUCUCUACCUGUUUAUUCCCAGAUGCCACAUUUGCUGGACCUGUGUGUGGAGGGGAGAAGAACAGGGCAACCAUACAAACAGGUAGUACACAUCCUGGCUGCUUUUGAAGCUUUGGUUUUGAGGGAAUUGUAAAGAUACUGCGAUUCAGAGAUCAAGCAUGAAAAGUUGCACUGGCAUUGCUAAGGCACAGUCACCUUCAGGAGACAGCAAAUGUGUAGCUUUUUACUGCACAGAUGUUUACUGAGAUCAGAUGUUUAUUUUAAAUAAUCACAGAAUGGUUUGGGUUGGAGGGGACCUGCAAAGGUCAACUAGUCCAACCCCCCCUUGCAGAAAGCAGGGGCAUCCUCCACUAGAUCAGGUUUCCCAGAGCUCUGUCAAGCCUCACCUUGAGUAUCUCAAGGGAUGGGAGCCUCCACAACCUCCCUGAGCAGCGUUCCAUCACACUUAUGGUAAAGAACCUGUUCCUAAUAUCCAACCUAAAUCUGCUUAAAAACAUUGCCCCUCAUCCUGUCACUACAGUCCUUUGUAAACAGUCGCUCUCCAGCUUUCUUGUAGGUUCACUUCAGGUUCUGGAAGGCUGCUAUUAGGCUUCCUCAAAGCCUUCUCUUCUCCAGAAUAUAAAUAAAUAAGAAUUUAAAUAACUGUAAACAUAAGGAUGCAAAUGUAUUGUUUCUUGUUUAAAGUGCCUCUUUGAUUCCUAUCCAAGCAUUCAGGCAUUUAAAACGUUUUGUAAUAGCUAGAAAUAUUAAUGGAGAAAGUAACUGUGAUUUCUUUAUGCAGUGGUGAAUGUCACAUAAUAAUCCUCUAUUUGAAGUUUGUAAGAACUGUGAAAAACUAUGAUAUAUAAAUCCUAGAACCACAACUUCAACAUACCUCUUCUUUUGACACUCAUUCCUAUUCCACUAUGCUCUUUUAGGAACAAUUUUCUCUCUGUGCUAAACCAAGAUGUUACAAACUGUCAACAACUUCAGUACAGCAAGCAGUUAUGACAAUCAAGGGUAAAUAUCUGAACAGCUCAGGGUCUACCAAUUAGAGUUUGUCAUUUGCUUGUUAGAUUAACCAGAUGUUGAGGGCAAACAAUAGAAACUAGAGAGUAUGAAUCUUCACCACCCCUGCCCCAACACAGCUUUUCCAUCUGUAUCAUCACCUGGCUCAAGAGCAAUUCAAAGCACUGCACAUAAGUCUCUUGGCAGUGCUUGUUAACAGAGUGGCCUGAGUUAUUUUUGCCCCAAACAUUC